UUCUCUUAGCCUGUCUAUCAGCUUUUUAAAGGUGUAGUUCUUUCUCCACUCCUAAUAAAUAUUCUCCUCAGGAAUGUGACUGUAUUGUUUGCAGCUCUAUUUCUGGUCCAUCUCUCUUUCUGAGGCACAUGGGCACCUGUGAGCACUGCACAUCCAGGCCCAGACAUCUAUCAAAAUCUUUUCAGAGACUGUCACUGCCUCCAAGGUCUGUUCACUGUUCUGGGGAAUUAGCUUAUACUCACAGCUAGAACUAAUCCUGCCAAAUUCUUCAAGGAAUUCAGAGCUCCACAAGUUUAGCCCUCUAAUCUCUGCACACCAACAUGCUAUGUGCAACCAAAUUGUGUGCACAAUUUUACAGUAUAUUCCAUCUGAUUGCUUCUUCUUGAGUUGCUUUGCUGUCCUCCGCUUUUAUAAGGAUGCUUUGAUCUGUGGUUUUAGUUCAUGAAACCCUGUAUUAAUCUGCACACAUCUCAAAUUCUUCAUUAUGACCCUCAAAGGUAGGUAGUAUUAUUUUUAUUUUACAUACAAGAGAAUUGAAUUGAAGCCCAAAAGAGUUUUAGCUACUUGGUGAAGGACACAUUGAAACAGAAGGCAAAUCUGAGACUUCCACUAAGUCUAUCAGUGUCGUGUGUACAGGCUGAAGCACAUAACCACGUUUACUUUCAUGGGAUCAGAAAUAUUUUCGUUUUAUUUUUCUCAAGUACAUUGAUAAAUGAUUGUCCUAUUGAUGAAUGCCAGGCACUGUAUGAGAAAUUACGGAUUCAGAGUCAAGCAAAGUAAGAUCUCGGUGCUCAGGAUAGUCAUAGUCAAUAACUCUCUUUGAGAACAAAACCAAGAAGUUAAGCUGCUUGAUACCACAAUGUUAUCGCCUUGGAUUUUAUUGUAGGACACGAAACUUCUAAAUAGAAUCUGUAAAUCUCUAAAGCAGGAUAAAAUGAGCAGAAACAAGAACAAGAGAGAAAGGUGUUCUGACAUGAAACUUUGCAGAAAAGUCAAGGCUGAAUAGGAGAUUUGGAACAUUUGUUUGCACCUCUGUUCACCAGUUAUUGAUGUAAAAAGUUUAAUGAGAGCACUGUAAUAUAGCAUUUAAGGCAUGAGUUAUGAAGUCAGACAAAAUUUGAAUCUCAUACUUACUACCUUUUGUUGUUACGCUUUUGUGAAAGUUAUUUGCAGUUUUUGACCUUCAGUCUCUUUAUCCUUACAUGGAGAAAAUAAUUUCUAACUCAGAGGGUGGCUGCAAGGAUCAAAUGAAAAAAAUAUGAGGUAGUAGACUUUCGUAUUUUCCUGCUCAAUAUCCAUUCCCUUUUCCUUGGGUUAGCAGCAAGUUGCUCCACAGGGAAUCACCGUUUCCUUUAUCGUCUCAUUGUAGUUGAUAGGAAGUUU
rnacentral:lncRNA from 1 species